CCAGGACUGCUUGAGCGGAACUCCCCGCAAUAUUGGGGAUGAAGACCUUGAAAUUAGAAGGAACAUCGUGUCCGGCAAGUAUCGAGACAUUCCAUCCUGUAUCUUUGCACACGGCAUAUAAGAGAAUAUGAUAAUUAUAAGUUUGAUAUAACACUAUUAUCAGUGCCAAUAAUUUGAAGUACAAAAUACCGUCCACCAAGAAGCUCAUUUACGAAGCCGCUAAGAGAACGAAUUCAACUACCUACAAUAAGGUGACCUUCAGUUGACCUUGAACCUCAGAACGAAAUGAAAAUUUGCGAAGAAUAACUUACUUUCAAUGAUUUCGUUUAAAGUAGAUGGUGUCGAAAAAUUAUGUCCGAUACACUGCGAACCGUUCGUGUCUCGUACCGGCGAGACGCCGCGUCGCGUCAUGUGAAAAAAUGUCAAGAUAUGAGCUACAGUGAUUGAAUGUGUACUCGUUGUUAUUAACCACAUGUAAUUGGGAGCCAUUUUUUAAUCUCACUACUAUCAACAUUGAAAAGUAAGUUCUUUACGACAAUCGAAAGAGAUCUUCGUAGUGAUUCGAUAAAGAUCAGUUGACUGUUCAUGCUCCGAAACCUUGUCACUUUAUCCUCUGAAGAUAUUGUUAACAUUAGUUAACAUUAGUGAAAUAUAACUGGAAUACUUCACUACUCAUUUUAAAAGAGACUAUCACAGCCGAAAUAUAUUACAAGUAUAUCGAAGAAAUGCACGAAAAAUUGAAAAUUCUACGACCAGCACUUAUUAAGUAGAGAUAUGCGGGUACCCGAUGUUCGAAACAGGUCGAGCAGAGAUCGGGUCGGUUCCCGAAAGUAUUUCGAGACUCGAAAAUAUUGGAAUUCCCGACAAUUUCGAAAACAACUGUAUAUGUGUUGUUUUCGAACAAUGUUUUGCAACUAACUUUGUUGUAGAAUGGGCAAGCACUAUAUAGCUAGUCGUUAGAAAUAUCGUCCGGGUUCUCGAGACAGUCUCGAGUCUCGCGAUACUUUCAGGGCCGAAUCCAAUCCCGGAAAAAUUUCUCGACCUGAUCCGACCCGAUAUUUUCGGGUUCUUGCACACCUCUGGAGGUAAUACUACUAUUCAAUUAUUAUAUUCCAUGAUGGCAACUAAUAGUCAAAUAUAUUUACUAACCAACAAUUUUCAAAUAUGAUAUACUAAACCUGUUAAAAUAUUUGACAAGAUGGAGUUGAAUUGCACAACAAUAUAUAUAAUACUAAUUAUAAAUUAUCACAAACAUUCUGGAUAUAUCAAAACUGAAGGUUACAUAUUCUUAUUAGGAAAAUAAUAUCUAUAAUGUACCUAAAUACAUUCAAUUAUAUUGAAAUACAUCCAUAAUAUGUAUAUUUAAAUAUAUGCACUAUUGAUAAAGGUUAUUGUAUCAAUAUAACUAUAAUAUAAUAAUAUAAUAUAAUAUUGAAAUAUAUCCAUAGUAUGUAUAUUUAAACAUAUAGAGGUUAUUGUACCAGAUAACUAUAACAGAAUAAUAUAAUAUAACUAUAAUAGUAUAAUAUAAUAAUAUAUUGUAUCGAUAUAAGAAUUAGAUGUUUCAGCAGUUAGAAAGAAGAGAAAAUAUUAUUUAUAUCACAAAACCGAUAAUAAAGGCAAAUUAAAAUGUGUGAAAAAUAUAUAAAAUACAUUUAUGUUAUAACAACAUUAAUAAUAAUGUUAUCACAUAUGUAAACCGUGCUAUAAGUAAAUAAAUAAUUUGAAUAGAAUAUACAUAGUUUCUAUAAUGAAAGGCAUUAUAAUAGAUGCACAUAAAUUCUUCCAUGCAGCCUAAUAUACUAUAAAAUUAAAAAUAUGAAUUUAGUUUUAACCUAGGAUGAUGAUGAAUAUAGAGCACUAUAUAUUACAUAUUAAAUACAUAUUAAAUUAUGCUAUUAAAUACAAUGUAUUAUAAAUGUGCAUUACAAAUUAU